ACCUAGCCCCGAUAGAAGUAGAAAUCCUUUUUUGUUUUUUCUUUAAAAACAAAAAAGAUUGUAAGGAAUAGCGGGAUUAGCU
rnacentral:ncRNA from 2 species